rnacentral:rRNA from 2 species
UGAUCAUGGCUCAGGACGAACGCUGGCGGCGUGCCUAAUACAUGCAAGUCGAACGAACUCUGGUAUUGAUUGGUGCUUGCAUCAUGAUUUACAUUUGAGUGAGUGGCGAACUGGUGAGUAACACGUGGGAAACCUGCCCAGAAGCGGGGGAUAACACCUGGAAACAGAUGCUAAUACCGCAUAACAACUUGGACCGCAUGGUCCGAGCUUGAAAGAUGGCUUCGGCUAUCACUUUUGGAUGGUCCCGCGGCGUAUUAGCUAGAUGGUGAGGUAACGGCUCACCAUGGCAAUGAUACGUAGCCGACCUGAGAGGGUAAUCGGCCACAUUGGGACUGAGACACGGCCCAAACUCCUACGGGAGGCAGCAGUAGGGAAUCUUCCACAAUGGACGAAAGUCUGAUGGAGCAACGCCGCGUGAGUGAAGAAGGGUUUCGGCUCGUAAAACUCUGUUGUUAAAGAAGAACAUAUCUGAGAGUAACUGUUCAGGUAUUGACGGUAUUUAACCAGAAAGCCACGGCUAACUACGUGCCAGCAGCCGCGGUAAUACGUAGGUGGCAAGCGUUGUCCGGAUUUAUUGGGCGUAAAGCGAGCGCAGGCGGUUUUUUAAGUCUGAUGUGAAAGCCUUCGGCUCAACCGAAGAAGUGCAUCGGAAACUGGGAAACUUGAGUGCAGAAGAGGACAGUGGAACUCCAUGUGUAGCGGUGAAAUGCGUAGAUAUAUGGAAGAACACCAGUGGCGAAGGCGGCUGUCUGGUCUGUAACUGACGCUGAGGCUCGAAAGUAUGGGUAGCAAACAGGAUUAGAUACCCUGGUAGUCCAUACCGUAAACGAUGAAUGCUAAGUGUUGGAGGGUUUCCGCCCUUCAGUGCUGCAGCUAACGCAUUAAGCAUUCCGCCUGGGGAGUACGGCCGCAAGGCUGAAACUCAAAGGAAUUGACGGGGGCCCGCACAAGCGGUGGAGCAUGUGGUUUAAUUCGAAGCUACGCGAAGAACCUUACCAGGUCUUGACAUACUAUGCAAAUCUAAGAGAUUAGACGUUCCCUUCGGGGACAUGGAUACAGGUGGUGCAUGGUUGUCGUCAGCUCGUGUCGUGAGAUGUUGGGUUAAGUCCCGCAACGAGCGCAACCCUUAUUAUCAGUUGCCAGCAUUAAGUUGGGCACUCUGGUGAGACUGCCGGUGACAAACCGGAGGAAGGUGGGGAUGACGUCAAAUCAUCAUGCCCCUUAUGACCUGGGCUACACACGUGCUACAAUGGAUGGUACAACGAGUUGCGAACUCGCGAGAGUAAGCUAAUCUCUUAAAGCCAUUCUCAGUUCGGAUUGUAGGCUGCAACUCGCCUACAUGAAGUCGGAAUCGCUAGUAAUCGCGGAUCAGCAUGCCGCGGUGAAUACGUUCCCGGGCCUUGUACACACCGCCCGUCACACCAUGAGAGUUUGUAACACCCAAAGUCGGUGGGGUAACCUUUUAGGAACCAGCCGCCUAAGGUGGGACAGAUGAUUAGGGUGAAGUCGUAACAAGGUAGCCGUAGGAGAACCUGCGGUUGGAUC